GACGAACGCUGGCGGCGUGCCUAAUACAUGCAAGUUGAGCGCUGAAGGUUGGUACUUGUACCAACUGGAUGAGCAGCGAACGGGUGAGUAACGCGUGGGGAAUCUGCCUUUGAGCGGGGGACAACAUUUGGAAACGAAUGCUAAUACCGCAUAAAAACUUUAAACACAAGUUUUAAGUUUGAAAGAUGCAAUUGCAUCACUCAAAGAUGAUCCCGCGUUGUAUUAGCUAGUUGGUGAGGUAAAGGCUCACCAAGGCGAUGACACAUAGCCGACCUGAGAGGGUGAUCGGCCACAUUGGGACUGGGACACGGCCCAAACUCCUGCGGGAGGCAGCAGUAGGGAAUCUUCGGCAAUGGACGAAAGUCUGACCGAGCAACGCCGCGUGAGUGAAGAAGGUUUUCGGAUCGUAAAACUCUGUUGGUAGAGAAGAACGUUGGUGAGAGUGGAAAGCUCAUCAAGUGACGGUAACUACCCAGAAAGGGACGGCUAACUACGUG
rnacentral:rRNA from 1 species